GUCACAAACUUUUUUUUUUCAAUUAAAUAUUUACUUUAUUAAUAAACCCGAAACGGGGAUUCAAGUUUCGGUUCAAACAAAAUGAAAUGUCACAAACUUUUACUUUAGUUGUUUCCUAGUUUUCAAAUUCUCUUUAUUGAGCUUGUAAAUAACUUCUUUUGUGUCGAAUAGAUAUCACAAUGAACCAAAAACAUAAUCAAAAGUUUUAAAAAGUUUGGAUCCACCAAGUGUAUUUUAGGCUAGAAACUAGUUCGCGAAACCUUCAAAAUUAUGCGCCUCUAUUUAAGUUCAAUCAUAAAAAGAACAUAAGGUUUUCCUUCGGCCAAAACUUUUCAUUAUUAUGUUAAAGAGAAAUUACUUAAAAUGACUCUAAUUAAUCAUGAAAUGACUAGACUAACUCAUAUAAUUUUGAAAUUACUAGAUUAACUCUCGAAGCAUGCAAACUUACGAUUUUGCAUUUACUAAUAAUUAUAUCCUAAUUAAAAAAAAUAUUUAAUACUAUAAGAAAGAGAAAAAAAGCAAGCAUUUUACCUAUGUCGGGUUUCUCCACCUAAGGCGAAACGUUCUCCUCGUCGUCUCCUUCACCUCCAUCUCUGUUGGUCCCUUUUCCCUCACAACCGGCUUCGUCUCCGUCACCAGCGUGACUUGACUGUCUCCGCCAUCCUCCACGAUAACUCACCUUCGUCUCUUCCUACUCGACAAACCCGAAAUCGUUUUCACCUCAAUCACAUCCGGCUUCAACUACAAGUUACUCUAAUCUAUUGUUUGAAAUUGUUUCCUCUUAGGGUCUGAUGAGAUACGUACGUGAUAUUGGCAAGAUAAUAGUAACAGUUCCACGACAACUUUUAUGGAAAGAAAAACAACUAUUUCUUGGUGAAACAGUUCGGCAGAGGCAAUGCUAAUGUUUAAUUUAGCAAAGAGAGCAACAACCUCUACAAACUCAACUGUUAUAGGUUUAGCGUACCAGAAGACGGUGACGAUUCAGGUAGCUGACAAGGAGAAAGAUAUGGAACUUGGAACCACCAAGACAAAGAAACAAAACAAGCUUAAGCUCUAUGUUAACAAGUUUAUAGGUUAUAAAGAUUUUUCAUGGACAGUUUAGUUUCUUGCUUGCAACACCUCCAUUGUUAUGUUCUUUUUCUCAAAAUGAUAUUUAAAAGAAAGUAGUAAGCUGGUUGAUGUCCACAUUCCUUGUGUGCAGACAAGUACCUCUGAACUUUAUAGAUAUGUGAUAUGAAUUGAAAGAGAGAACAGUAUCUGAUACAAAGUUACAAACUCAACAACAUGUCAAAUUCAAGAACCUAUUCUUACAUAUAAGGACUUUGCUGCACGCUUCUCUGCUGAAGAAAGUCAUUAUGCCAUUUAUGAUUUUGACUUUGUCACUGUUGAAAACUGCCAGAAGAGCAAGAUUUUUUUUAAUUGCAUGGUAAGAAACUCAUUCCUGUAAAACCUCACUGCAUUAUUUGUGGCUUUGACAAUAGAUUUUUCUUCUUUUUUCCGAUAACAACAGAUUUUUCAAGAAACUAUAAAUGUACGAACAGAUGUUUAGCUCCACCAGCCAUGAACAGACGUUUACUUUGAAACCAUUACUAAAUACAAAAUAUUUCAUUUCAUGCAUUCAAAAUACCGGUAUGUUGUGCACGCUUCGUAAUCCUUCCCCAGAUAAUGCUUGCGCUGAAGGCAAGGAAUAAAUACUUAAAUCUAUUGCAUCAACUUCCAGUAGAGCCAAAGUUCCAGGAUUUACCAUUCUAAUCUUGUGAAGGUAAUAAGGUAAUUCCUCGUAUUGCAACAAGUGAUUAAUCUGCCAUGAAAAAGGACGACUAGAUAAAAAGAAAAAGAGGAAUGAAAGAGAUGACGAUAAUUACCGAACAUUUACCUAAUUCUGAUCUUAAUUAACCUAAAAAUUAACCCGAUACGAAAUUUAUAUAAACCGGUUCGAAAUUGAAUAUUAAAUUAAGUUUGGUUGACACAAAUACAGAUUUUUUCUUCAAUAAAUCUGCCACAAUAUAAAUUAAAAAGUCUGCAACCACAUAAAAAAAAUCUACGAACAAUUUUAAAUCAGAUAUAUAACUCUGCCGUAAAAAAAUAGGUCGAACAUAAGAAAAUAAGUCGGCCCAUAAAAAAAUAAGUUGACCACAAAAAUCUACCAUUUAUAACAAAUCUGCUACCUCAUACGACAUACUAAUUCUUAAAAAUCUGUUUUCUAUUUAAAUCGGACAAUUAAUUCUGCCGUAGAAACAAAUCUGACGUUUCUAAGAAAGUCUGACACCACUUUAACGGUAGACUUUUUUUUCUAUACCGAUUUUAAUGUUAAGGAUACUUUGGUAAUGUUUUUUUUUAUUGUUAUAACUAUGGACAAGGGCAAUUUUGACCAGAAAAUAAUAACACAAUUAAUUUGUGUUAUUUUAGUAAAUUUUCCUUAUGUUAAUUGAAAUAUCUUAUAUGUUAUAACUGCAGUAACAAUUGAAAUACAAAUUUUGAUUAUAUAUUUUGAACUACCCGAACAAAUAACAUAACCAUCAGUAGGUAAAUAAUUUUUUUAUAAGAAAAAUCCGUAAUACAGUUAUGCAGUACUACACGAUAUUUCAAAGUUUCUAGAAGAAAAUAGUAGAAAAGGGAAAGCUACACGUUUGGCACUAUUAACAUAGUAAUUUCUUAUAAGAAUUGGUUUUAGUUGAAACUUUUGAUAAGUAAUGGGAAAAUAUGAAACCUAUUAAGAAAAAGAAGUUGGAUAAUACUACGACAUUGACCUAGUAGUUAGAGCCUAAACAUCACUUGCCAAGAAUUGGUACCCAAAUUGAAGUCAUAGUGUUAUUCUGAUAAUAUAUUCAAUUUUCUUUUUAGAUUCAAAUAUUUAAUAUAGCGUGUAUAUUGUAUUUAUCGGAAUUAUGCAUGGAACAUCAUAGGGAAUUGAAUGUGAGUUAGCAUUUCAAUGUGAGACCGUCCUCAACUUUUUUGACUCGGAUAAGAACGCAAUUCUCGCUCUCUGAGAAAUAUAUUUUCCUAUAAAAUACUGAAAACAUAUAGCAGACAUGUUCAUCUGAUUAUACUAACCGAGAUGAUUUUUAGAGCUGUACAAUUUGAUAUAACUCCAGUGGUGCCUGUAUAAAGAUAGAUGUGGAUUUGUUGAUGGUUUAGGAUACAAUCAUUUUGCUAUGUCAUGAAUUUUAGAGAUUUCUUGAUGGUGAUCUAAAUAUAUAUAGUCAUGUCCAAUUUUCUUUUUGCGAUAGUUAUUAAAAAUUAUGAAUCGAAUUCGGUUUGCAUUUGUACAAUCAUAAAUUUCACCACAAAUACAUAUGUAUUUUCAUAUUUGAAGUUAGGAAAUCACUUUCUUAAACUUAAUAUCUCGACUAUUAUUUGGUAGUUGGUUCUCACUACUAUAAUGGAGUAGAAGUUUUUGUUCGAAAAGUUGCCACACAUCAGUUACUUAAAUCAAGAUUGCUGUCCAUUAAGGGCUAAACAACUUCCAUAGGUGUGAUUGCACUAACACAACAUGAUUGAUUGGUUGCUCUCUCAAUAAUAGUUUUAAUAAUAGUAACACAAAUAAACUUAAUUUAGAAACCAAAGUUGCUUUUUAAGGUUCCCAAAACUUGGAACCCGGACUUGUGUAUAAAAACAAAACAUUAUGCAAACUAGUGAAUGUUCAUAAUAAAGGCACGCAUAUACAGCUAAAAAUAUUGUAUAAGAUAAAGUAUGAAAUGUUUGGAAAUAUAUGAGUUUUGUAUAGAAGAGUUCUGAAAAUUCUAAACCUUUUUGUGCAGAACUCAUAACUUUUGUUUGCCAUCCAGAUCCAGUAAUUGGGUGCAUGCCUACUUUUAGAUCGUGAAAAUCUGUUUCUAAGAAAUCAAGGGUAGCUAAUUUGUCUGCACAAACGAAAUAAAAAAGUAUAGCUAAUUUAAUUAUGCUUAUGAUGUUAUGAUGUCUAUUAAGAAACUUGAUGUAAGUUAACUGGCCGGAUGAUUCCAAAUAACAUAAGCCAUGUGAACUUUGACUUUGACACCGAAUUAACCUGUUUUGAAAAAAAUAUAAAAACAAAAUGCAAAUUUAUAUGCAAGAGAGACAAAUAUAUACUGAUUUGUAAGUACUGUUAUGUUGUUUAGUGAAGAGUUACUUUGUUUCUAAAAACAAUGUUUGGUUUUAUUCACAUUGUCAUUUUAUUCCUUGGACCAUUUUCUUACUUGCUUCGCAUCCCGUGCAUGUCUCCUCUAAAUCACCACCAUUGAUACAUUUGUAUAUACCCAUGAAUAUAAAUAAACGGCAGUUAAAAAGAAAAAUAAAACGAAAUGAGAUUUAGUUCGAGUUUUCCUUUUCUGUUUUAAAUUAUUUUUUCUUGUUAAAUCCUUUUUGUAUUUGGUUUCAAGUGUCAUUAGGAAUCCAAAAAAAUCUGUUAAAACUACUAAAACAUGCAAAAUUGUUGUUAAUGUUAUAAACCAAAUGAUGAUCGACCAUGGACCAGUCCGUACUGCAGGCCCAAUCCGAGACAUGAUAAAGACAACCAGAGACUAUGUGUUUAUCUAGUAUAUAUUCCAUGUAUGUAUGUAACAUAGUGUUUAUCCUUAUCUUUAUCUUGUUAGGAUAAACAUGACCUUAUGACGGUCUAAUACCUUAUAUAUAUAUGGACCUUCUGGUCGUCGACAGUAAUGAUAACAGAAGUAUUUCCCCAACACAUCAUUUACAACACAUUAUCAGCACGACGUUGUUCUCAUAAACCCUAACCCUAAAAACCAGAAAUAAAUCCGAGCAGUAAAAACCCUAAUUCCCGACAAACUUCAAACAGCUCUAUCCCUCAACUCCGGUGGAUCCAGACGACGAGCCAGAUACCAAAUUAAAACUCUUGACGAGACGAAGCCAACGCCGCUAACCCCGCAUCAAUCAGAGUUCGGACGCGCCCCCACGCUCAGCUACAAUACAGGCGGAAAAUUUGUUCCAAAAACCAAAAUCUCUCUCAACCAUAUACCAGUCUUCUAUUCCAACAAGCAGCAACAAAAACAAUAAUUCCGAGCAAUCCAUCAGCUAACCAGGAAGAUCUCUAACUGAUAGACCGAUCAACCCAUCAAAAGUUUUCAAGUAUCAUCGAAAACUUAUCUAAAACCCAUAAAGUAUUAAAUACCCCCAUCCGCAGCCAUGUAGCUAUAUUUAGCAACAUGUCUCUGCAAAUAAAAUAAAACCAGAUACCAUAAACUCUUUAAAAUCUCGAACCUGAACUUGUUUUGAACCUGUUCUUAAUCUGAAACUGAUUUUAAAAUUGUUUAAAACUUUUCCUGAUGAUAGUUUCACAUUAGAACUGUUUAGGAUUGAAAGUUAAACAAUUUUUUUAAAAAAAUCUGACUGCUAUAUGUUGAAAGAAACCGACUGUUACUUGCUUAAACUUAUCAUUAUUGUCCUGUUUAAUGUUUUUAUCUGAUCUGAAUCAACUAGAACUGUUAAGGACUGCAUGUUACAUAAUUUUUUUUGAAAAUCUGAUCAUGGUUUCAUAAAUUAAUCCGAGGUUUUACCUCCUGUUCUUGUCUGAGAAAUUUGUUUUCCUGAUGAUUGAUAACGACUAGAACUUGAUUAGGAUUGAAAAAAAUAUUUUUUUUAAUAUUUAAAAUCGAAAUAUCAGAGAUAUAUCUGAGAAAAUAUAUUUAUUUUUAAAUCAAAAAGUAUAUAAUAAAUUGCUUGAAUAAAUCAAAUCUUCCUGAUUUUUUUUUUAAGUCACAAUAAUUUCUGAUUUGAUUAUUUUUCGAAAAAAAUAAUAAUAAAUAUAUGGUAUAUUUUUCGAAAACCCUAACCUGAUUUCAUGAUUGAAUUGGUUUGCUUGAUUGCAUAUUGUUUGCAUACUAAUAUUGCAUACUGAACAUGAAAUCUCGACUGUUAGGGAUAUAGAUCAUUCAUAGUUUUCAAGCAAUCUGAUCUGAACUGAAAAAAAAAUCAUUAUACUAAAUGAUCCGAUCCAAUGGGAUGAAGAAAAUAUGGAACAUUUUCCUGAUCAUCUAAGAUAGAAUCCCUAAAGGCCUUGAAACCUUGUGUUUGAAAUAAGAGGACCUUAAAUCUGAAAAAUACAUUGAUCCACACCUUAAACCGUAUGGUUUUAAGAAAAUGCAUCAUUUAGAAA